GAAAAAUAUUGUGAAACAUGGGAGUCCAUAAUAUCAUGAGAAUAAAAAUAGGUCUCAUGAGCUUAUUCUUACUUGAAGUUAGUCUAGUCCUCGGAGAUAUAGGCACCGCAACAUCUUAUCAUCCACCUUAUACACUUUUUCGACGAAACGGGAAGUGAGUUUGGAAAGGCUUAAGGAGCGCGAAAGGUACUGACGACAGGUUCGCUGAUCCACACAUUUAGGAUCCUAUUUCUGCUAUUUGGGGCGCUCUCUUCUACAGAGCCCAUCUUUUGGUACAGUCUGUCACUGCUAUCUGGAUAUGUACUUUGUUCAGGGUAUGACGGGGCCCUGUCCCGUCUUAUGAUUAUGAUAUGUUCUGUAGAGGUCUGUAGAUACAUCUGUGUGGGUUCUGUACAUAUGUUUGGGAUAUUCUGUUCUGUGAUGGCCUUAUCGGCCUAUGUGUGCCAAGUCUGUUUUUCUGCUAAAUUCUGUAGCGACCACUAAUAUUAUUAUUAUAUUAUUAUUCUGUUAAUAUGCUAAUUUGGGGUAUCGGGUACGUAUAGGUGCCCAGCUCGGGCACUGGUCGCGGCCCACGGGGUUGGGUCGUGACACAAAC